rnacentral:rRNA from 1 species
CUUAAAAUGACUCUCGGCAAUGGAUAUCUCGGCUCUUGCAUCGAUGAAGAACGUAGUGAAAUGCGAUACUUGGUGUGAAUUGCAGAAUCUCGUGAACCAUUGAGUCUUUGAACGCAAGUUGUGCCCGAGGCCUUGUGGCCGAGGGCACGCCUGCUUGGGCGUCAUGG